UAACGCGAAGAACCUUACCAGGUCUUGACAUCUUCUGCUAGCCUAAGAGAUUAGGCGUUCCCUUCGGGGACGGAAUGACAGGUGGUGCAUGGUUGUCGUCAGCUCGUGUCGUGAGAUGUUGGGUUAAGUCCCGCAACGAGCGCAACCCUUAUUGUCAGUUGCCAGCAUUUAGUUGGGCACUCUGGCGAGACUGCCGGUGACAAACCGGAGGAAGGUGGGGAUGACGUCAAAUCAUCAUGCCCCUCAUGACCUGGGCUACACACGUGCUACAAUGGACGGUACAACGAGUCGCGAAACCGCGAGGUCAAGCUAAUCUCUUAAAGCCGUUCUCAGUUCGGAUUGUAGGCUGCAACUCGCCUACAUGAAGUUGGAAUCGCUAGUAAUCGUGGAUCAGC
rnacentral:rRNA from 1 species